ACACGUGUCCAAAAACUAGUAUUAUUAAAGCCGGCUAUCAAUCUAACGGAAGCACUUUUGUAAGCACCUUGCUCCGAUGAACCUAUAUCAAACUCAAUUUAAAAAGGUACUCCGACAUGUGGGGACUAUUAUAUAGUUUUUGAAAUCGCAUAAUAUUUCAUUACUAACACUGUAACAUAGCUAGAUGGUGUCAAAAUAUGUAUGAAUUAGUCAUGUGGUAACAUUUAAUAGAUCUAUCGUUUUGGGAUGGGAUUUAUCAUAAAAAAUAGAUCCGACUGUCUACUUUGGGAUUUUCUUUUCUAUAACGAAAUAUUUGACCAUAUUGGCACUAAUUUUCCAGUCCCUAUAUUAAUAAUUAGCCCUUAACAUUGAAAAGAUGCUAAAUGUCUUGAAAUAUGCACUUGAAUGACAACUUUACCUGAUAAUGAUAAGAAUAAAAAUUAACCAUGAGUUCUCAGGUUCAAAUUUCUGUAGAGAUAAAAAUAUUAGGUGAUUUCUUUCCGUCAGUCUUAGCUUUGGUGGAUAGAGUUACCUGGUACCUGUUGCUGGUGGGUGGUGAUAAAUAUCUCGUGAAAAUAAUCGAGGUGUAUGCAAGCUAGCUCAGAUGACACGGUUAUCAAAAAAAAAAUCUGGAGUGCAAAUGUGCACUAUUUUGGUGCCUCUGGAUGGCACCAAUGGUAGACUUUUCCUAGACAGCUUCCUUUUUGUUGAUUAUGUUUGGGGAGAAGGUAGUUUUCUUUCAUAUGUGUUGCAUAAAGCAAUUUUCUUAUUCAGUGAAAUACCUUUGUAGAUUCAGGAUGCAGCUGGCCAGUAGUUUUAUUGAUGUAUUCUGCCAUCUUGUCUUUCACCUUAUAAAUUUUUCUCAUUAGUAGAACUUAUUUUUUGUAUUCAAGGAUAAAAACGAAAAAACCUAUGACUUGUUUAGAAUAUGCCAUUUCUUCGAUGAAUAAAAGCUUAAAUAUGUUCGAUGUCAUUGGUAGAACUUAUUUUUUGUAUUAAAGCUUGAUCCAUUGCAUUUAUGAUGUCAUUUUCGUUUGGAAUUUUUUGAAACUGAGAACUAAUGUUCGGUCACGUGCCUGGGGGGCUGCGAUUGGUUGCAGCUACCGAGUUGAGCGGUGCCAUGUUGUGAAGGUGCGCAUCCUGUAGUCUUUCUUUUUUUCUUGUCUAAACAGUUUACCUUCUCUAUUAUAGAAUGCGUGUCCUUUAGGUUUCAUGUGCAGAUGAUUGAACCAGCUGUCAGUGAUGGACUUGCAUAUGCAUUUCCUCCAUUGCAACUUGUUUUUUGCUUCUGGUCUCUGAUUUUAUAUGGCCAAUUAUCUCUUUUUGGGUAUUUUCACCACUGAGGAUUUUUAUGGUGUUUCUUUCCCUUCAGAAAGGAGGUGGAACCACUGACCUUGAACCUUGUCUCUCACAUUCCUCAAAUUUGGAGCCCACUCUAGCUCCUUUGGUUGUGGAGCGCACGAUGACCACCAGAGCUGCAGCUUCGAAUGCAUUACGACAACAGAGAUUUGUACGUGAAGUAACAAUUCAGUUCAACCUUUGCAACGAGCCUUGGAUGAAAUACAGCAUCAGUGUUGUUGCUGACAAGGGUCUGACAAAGCCUCUUUUCACAUCUUCGCGUCUGAAGAAGGGAGAAGUUUUGUAGCUGGAGACCCGUUCCCUGAGGUACAAACUAAGACUUUUCUGUUUGGUGCGAUCUCAAGUUAAGCUAUAUAUUGCCUGUGAAGAGCUGUUUGGAUGCUCAUUCUUUGUCUUUCACUAUAAAUUAUGGCAUACUGAUGCAUUUGAUGACUCAUUUUGCGGAAAAAUAGAGCGGAGGCGAAAGUGCUCUGGAAUUUCUCUAUGCUUUUGCGGCCAGGGGGCCAAGAAGAUAAAAAUAAGGACCAAGGAAAAUGGGGCAGAUGUGACUCGAAGAUAUUCUCUUUCUUUCUUUCUUUCUUUCUUUCUUCUGCUUUUGCUUCUUUGGUUUGAGUGUAGAGUCGGAGGAGCCAAAUUGAAUCUUUUGAUGACCUUAGCUAACUGUGCUACCAAGUCUUAGAUUACCUUAUGUCCACUUUUUACAUUUUGUUCGUAAGCUCCAUUUUCCUUUACCGACUGACGGGUUAAUUAAUUCAAGGUAUGAGUUUUGCUUUAAUGGAGAAAAAUUGGUAAAGGCUACUUCAGCAUCACAUACGCCUGAGACGGAUGGUGACAAACCUCAUGUGGCAAAUGGGGAAAAAAUGUGGUGGAUAGUGAAAGUAUCAUGGUUGACGUGUUUAAGUGGUCCUGCCAUAAAAGGGCUUUACCCCAGGAGCUAAUGCGAUCAAUUGGGAUUCCUUUGCCUCUUCAACAUGUCGAGGUUCUGCAGGACAAUCUGGAAUGGGAGGACAUUCAAUGGUCGCAAACUGGUGUCUGGAUUGCUGGAAAAGAAUAUGUUCUUGCUAGGGCACAUUUUCUUUCCCCAAAUUAGUUUGUGAGAAAUGUACUAACUUGAUACUGAACAUCAGUAAAGUAACGCACUGAUAAAUGGAAACUGAUUAUUGGCAAACAACAUUAAUCUUUUUCCAAGUUUCACUUUCUUGUUGUAGUGUGUAUUUUACAUGUUAAGUGUCUACCUAUGAGAAAGUAAUGCAGA